GAUCCUGGCUCAAGAACGAACGCUGGCGGCAUGCCUAACACAUGCAAGUCGAACGAGACCUUCGGGUCUAGUGGCGCACGGGUGCGUAACGCGUGGGAAUCUGCCCUUGGUUCGGAAUAACAGCGAGAAAUUGCUGCUAAUACCGGAUAAUGACGUAAGUCCAAAGAUUUAUCGCCAAGGGAUGAGCCCGCGUAGGAUUAGCUAGUUGGUGUGGUAAAGGCGCACCAAGGCGACGAUCCUUAGCUGGUCUGAGAGGAUGAUCAGCCACACUGGGACUGAGACACGGCCCAGACUCCUACGGGAGGCAGCAGUGGGGAAUAUUGGACAAUGGGCGAAAGCCUGAUCCAGCAAUGCCGCGUGAGUGAUGAAGGCCUUAGGGUUGUAAAGCUCUUUUACCCGGGAUGAUAAUGACAGUACCGGGAGAAUAAGCUCCGGCUAACUCCGUG
rnacentral:rRNA from 1 species